rnacentral:tRNA from 1 species
ACCCAGCUGGCUCAGUGAGAAGAGCAUGUGAUUCUUGAUCUUGGGUCAGGAGUUCGAGCCUCAUGUUGAGUG